AUUUACUGUGUUUCAUCUAUUGUGGAAAACAGAUGAAGUCCUGUAGACAACUAAACAUGAUUACCAUAUGGCUGAGCAGUUCCGAUUCUAGGUUGAUGGGGAAUGUACUACUGUGUAUGUUUAUCUUAUUGAUUAUCGAAUAAAAUACUGUUUGGCCAAUGAGACAGCAAGUUAGAUGGAACUAGGAGUCAAAGAGGAUUCUGGGAAAUGUAGUAGAGAAGUGCUGAUCCAGGCAGGAAGUGACAUAGCAAGGAGAAUCAUAUUUAAGCGAAAGAGAAACAGGAAGGGCCCUCUUUUCCCCUCGGCUCCUGCUCCAGCGGCACGAUGUGAUCCACCAGCUAGGAGGGACGCCAAUAAGGCGUCCGAUAAGUAGGAAGCAAAAGCAUCAAGUGUGCGUUUCCUGAUUUAUCUGCCCGAGGGGACUUGAGAGUGAACCAUUACAAUAUCAGAGAAGAAGAGGUGAUUAGGGGAUGACAGGAGCUGGCUGAGGCCCGGUGACAUGUGGAUCUUUGGAAUAUCUUCAGAAGACAUACAUUUUCUGUGUUUCUUCAAGGAAGUGUGGUGAAGAUUUGAAAACAUCAAAACUGCUCAUGGGGAGCCAGUGCAGCAGCCUCGAAACAGCUGACCUGAACAAGGGGUUGCUCAUGGACCCCAGACUGAGAACUAGGAGACCAGCAUAGGACUCUUACAGACUCCCUGGAAGAGGACGUCAGUUUGGAGGUCUGGACAAUCCAUUGGGCCACUGGUAGUGGAUCAUUAUUUACACCUACUGCUCAAAUGGACUUUGGGAGCCCACUACACAUAGAGAGCACCGGGAUUACAGAGGCAACCACCGCACCCAUGACUAGCUCCCACCUGUCAUUCCUUGUGGAUAAAUGUCCUGGAGGAUGUAUGAAGAAUGUAUCUUGGGAAGAAACUUGCCAAUGAUGAAUGAAGUUGGUUGGACAGUACAGUAGCUUUUCGGGUGAUGAUAUUCUGAGAUGAGUCCUAAGCUUUCUCCUUUAGUCCACUGGAGCAUGGAGCCCUGACAUUAGCAAUAACAAGCUGCUUUGCACAGCAUAGAUGAGCUCCCUUCCUGUUGGGGGAUAUCAUUUUCAGAAAGAAAUCAAGUCAGAGGACCCUUCUCAGUUGUUUCCAGACUUCUGACCAACAAAACCUAAGGAAAAACCCCAGU
rnacentral:lncRNA from 1 species